GUCACCUGCGCGGAGCCACUGUCGUGUGCUCGCUGCAUCUCCACGACAUCAAAAAAUCUCAGUGAAACUGCGGCUCUUGUUUCUCAAUUGUGACAGAGCACUGGAACAGGCUGCCCAGAGAGGCUGUGGAGUCUCCUUCUCUGGAGAUAUUCAAGACCCUUCUGGAUGCUUUCCUGCUCAACCUACUGUGAGGGAACUUGCUAGCAGGGAGUUGGACUCAAGAGCUCCCUUUCAACCCCUACAGUUCUAUGAUUCCAUGUAUGCACUAGUGCAAGGUUCUCCCUGUGCUCGUGCUUCCAGCAGUGCUUUGGGACUGUAAGCUGCUGUCAGAAGGCUGUGCCUACUUUUAACUGGCCAUGCUGAGUGUGAGUCAACCUUUGGCACACUCAGGACACAAAACAUAUGAGGUUUGUGCUGAAGUACGUGUUUAGUAGGUGGCAGCCCCAUCCAGCUGGGGAUCAGCACCCCAGUCUUGGAUGAUGAGUUUAUGUCUCAGCUUCAUUUUAGGUCUGGGUUGUCUCUAGAAACGUGUCACAUUGUAAUUUCCAGUGCAAAAAUGAUCCAGGAAUUCUGUGAAAAGGGUAGAUGUGGCACUGAAGGACAAGGCUUAGUGGGCAUGGUAGUAAUGACUCAGCAGUUGGACCUGAUGAUCUUAGAGGUCGUUUCAAACCUUAAUGAUUCCAUGACUCUGUUCUAUGAUUCCAAGUGACACUGAGGUUUUUUAUUCAAGCAAUGCUACAAGUCAGUAUAGGCUCUUUUUCUUAAUCGUGCAAAUGUUCACACUGGCAGUUUGCCCAGGCAGGCUGUGUGUCCUCCAGCCCUGUGGUGUUGGCAGCUCAGCUGGACAAGACCCUGAGCAACCUGACGUAGCUUCAGCACUGGCUGCACUUUGAGCAGAGGGUCAGAUUAGAUGACCUUUAGAGAUCCCUUCAAGCCUGAUCUUUUUUCCGUGAUUCAGUGAAAUGACAACUGGUCUCACCUCUAAACAGAAAAAAAAGUAUCAAAGUAGUAGCCAUGAGUGGAUUUCUAGGGAAGUGUAAGAUCAAUGUAUAAUUCUUCAUCUCAGAAUUCUCCUACUUCUGUGUGGUUAUUUCUUUAAUACCUGGUUUACUCAGAAAAUGGAAAUAAAUAAAUCAGUUGAAAGACUGC
rnacentral:lncRNA from 1 species